GGGGCGGGGCGGGCCGCGCUCCGCGGCGGGGGCGCCGGGGGUCGCGGCGCGCGGUCGGAGUCGGCCUCGCGCGGAGCUCCAGAGGCUCCCUCGGGUGCGCGCGGGCGCCGGACUCGGGGUCUCAGGUUGCCCCCCACGGCCCGCCGAGGAGGAAACCUGCGCGUCAGGCUCUUUGAGAUCCGAGACGGUACCCUAACUUGGCACUUGGCACUGAACUCGCCACCCUGUAGGCAGACCAGAGAUCCCAGGGCCUAGAUCUUUUACAACUUUAAUACAGGCAGUUCAGGCGGCUGCGAUGUCACCUUCCAGACCACCAGAAACCGGAAGCUGCGAUGUCAUCUUCCAGACUACCAGCAACCAGUCGAGAGAGAAUGGACGACCAAGCAAUCCCAAGAAGAAAAGCACGCCUACCCUCUUCUCCUGCGUCACAGCGUACUCCACUACCUCAGUUCCAUUUUCGUUGUGAUAAACCAAAUCAAAUUUCCCAGGUUCUUUCAUGGCUGAAACCAGACGGUAGGAAGGAGAGACAGUAAGUCAUUUCCCAGUAGUGAAAAUGUUCCUCUACAGGGAAUUUAUAUCAUUAGGAAAACAACCACAAAUAAAUUGUCCAUUGAUGUGGA